UGGAAAUGAUGAAAUAGAGAUAAUUGGAUGUCAUUUUGAAUGGAGUGUGUGUGUGAUAAAUGGAAUUUAAACCAAGUCAGACUUGGGGUGGGGGGUGGAGGAUGUGUGUGUGUGCAACAUGUAUGGAAAAGGCUUGAAAUGGGGGUCCUGAUUUUCAGUGCUGACCUCCGGAGUGCAUCUGAGGCGUGUUGUGAAGUUUUGGGGUGCCCCAUUCCAACACUGCCAGUGAUUAAAGCCCAAGCAAGCCCCCCAGAACAAGCCUAAGCAUCCUAAAUCUCUGACAGGUUCAUUCAUGACAGUGAUCCUGUAAUCUGAUCUGA
rfam:Calypte anna contig58247, whole genome shotgun sequence.